CUUUUCGAGGUCGGCCGCGUGGCUGGAAGACAUGGCCACUCCAGUCGGUGUUGAGCACGGCGAGCAGUCUCAGGCCUUUAGUGAUGAUGGUAAGGCUGCCUGGGUGGGAAAACGGGGUCUUCCUUGACACGACACUAACAUACUUGGCUUCCCUUCCUCAGAGACGAAGUGGUGACGAUAAUCUCGGUUUCUCCCUCAUAGGGUGGUUAGGAGGGUUAAAAGUACUGGAUGAGAAAAUGCUUUCCAAACGUUGAGAAAAUGUUACUAUGUGAAGGGAGAGAGCUCAAGCCCGUCCUCGGCGUCAUAGGGCCGGCUUCUGCGGGGGAGAGCGCCUAACAACCUGGGCAGCCCCGUGCGCCUCCGCCGCGCGUGUGCUGAGCGUCAUGCCCAGGGGUCUUCGGUGCCCGCGCACGGGCAGACUCUGACGAUGGUGGUUCUUAAUUCAGCAUCAGGAGUGUUAACGUGUGAAGACGUGAUUCCGCUUGGAGUGUCUUGAGGACGGCCCCAAUCGGUAGUUCAUAUUUAGCUUUACAGAUAGGAGUCAAUAGGAUUGUAAACUUCUGGAAAGCCGUAGUUUUAACAACGAGCCUUUUUUCCUCCCCCAGAGGCCUUUCUUUGUUUGGCAUCUGCAGAGACGGUGAAAAGCAGAGCUCCAGGUUGAAGGAUCAGAGUAAUAGAUGGAGCCCUUAACAUGAGUAAGAGUGGGUGCAGGCAGGGCCUGAGUGGUCACUAGAAAUGAGAAAGCACAGUUGGUGCCAUCACAUACAUUCACCUCCUGCUUUAUUCUGAAGUUCAAGUAUGAGAAUACGUGUUGACAUACAAGCCAGCUAUGGUAAGAAAUUACUCAAAAUUCAGAAUGCUAAUUAUUUUAAUGAUAAAAAUGAGUAGCGUCUUUGCCCGUGUGAUUUGGGGCCACUAGGUGUCAUUGUAACCAGCGUGGAUCCUCGUUAGGGCAUGCAGGGAUGAAAGAGACAUGGCAAAUGAAUUUUGGAUCGCUAGGAUUUAGGAAUCUUUGUUAUUGGCUGAGCUGAGGAUGAUUUAAAGUUAUCCCUGUCUGAAAUGGUAUCUUUUGUGAGGAGGUCUGACUUGCUGAGGCUCAGCUGUUUAAUACAAAUCUGGAGAAUAAACCUUAAGGUGGUUUCUGUUAGAAUGAAGCCUGUUAUCCUUCUCUUUUAGAUUAAAGGUGGUGGCUGUGGCCUUGAAAACAGUCAUGUGAAAACUCAUCACCUUAAGGUGUUAAGUGUAAGGAUCUUCAUGAUGAAAUUUCUGUAAAUGGUGAGAUUUUUAGUACUUUCAUAGACUUGAAUAUGCUUAUGGUCCUCUUUAAGUAUUGGUUUGUUAGUUUUGGGGAUGUGUUGGUCUUCCAGGGUUACGAUUGCCCAGAUAAUGGAAGUAGUAUGGAAUUCCUUUUGAUAGGGUCCUUGCCAAGCACUCUCAUAAAGAGCAUUUUUUGUUUGUUUGUUUUGAGACAGAGUUUUGCUCUUGUUGCCCAGGCUGGAGUGCGAUGGUGCGAUCUUGGCUCAGCGCAACCUCUGCCUCCUGGGUUCAAGCUAGUCUCCUGCCUCAGCCUCCCAAGUAGCUGGGAUUACAGGCAUGCACCACCACGCCUAGCUAAUUUUGUGUUUUUAGUAGAGACGGGGUUUCUCCAUGUUGGUCAGGCUGGUCUUGAACUCCCGACUUAAGGUGAUCUGUGCUGGGAUUACAGGCGUGAGCCACCUUGCCUGGCCAUAAAUAGUAUUUCUAAUAUCAACCCCAUAUGAGGUAAAUUUUUUUCCCCACUCUGCUGCUGAGUAAGUAAAAGUGAGGCGUAAAGAGUUCUUUUGCCCAAAGUUAUACAAGCAGUUACUGAGUUAGACUGGCAGUUCUGAACUGGGGAGCGAUGGUGUUCCUGGCAUCUGGUGAAUGCUACUAUUAAUAAAUACCCUGGCUGGGCCUGGAUAUUUAUCUCAUGCCUGUAAUCCCAGCACUUUGGGAGGCCGAAGCAGAUGGAUCACCUGAGGUCAGGAGUUCGAGUUCGAGACCAGCCUGGCCAACAUGGUGAAACCUUGUCUCUACUAAAAAUACAAAAAUUAGCUGGGUGUGGUGGCGGGCACCUGUAAUCCUAGCUACUUGGGAGACUAAGGCAGGAGAAUCUCUUGAACCCAGGAGGCAGAGGUUUGCAGUGAGCUGAGAUGGCACCAUUGUACUCCAGUCUAGGCGACAAGAGCGAAACUCUGUAAAUAAAUAAAUAAAUAAAUAUCCUACAAUGCAUACAACAGCCUGCAUGAGGAAUAAUUGAUCCACCCAGUAUGUCAGUAGAGCUGAGGUUGAGAAACUCCUGUAUACCACACGUUAGGCUAACUAGAGAUCUGAGCUCUAGUCUCAGCCUAUUUUCUCACCAGAGUCUUGUUUCUUCAUUUGUGAAACAGGGUUAGUGAUUUCCAAACUUGAUUAUUACAUCAGAGCCACCUACAAAGUGUUAAAAUAUACACAUUCCUGGGCCUCACCUCCAGGCAUGGGUGAGAAUGGCUCUGGAGUGGAGUCCAGGAAUCAUGUGGCCAGUCCAAGAGCAAGUGGGUAGUAACUAGAUCAGGGGUGUCAAUCUUUUGGCUUCCCUGUGCCACAUUGGAAGAAUUGUCUUGGGUCACACAUAAAAUAAACUAACACUAAUGAUAGCUGAUGAGCU
rnacentral:lncRNA from 10 species